UACGAGGGAUCCUAGCGUUGUUCGGAAUCAUUGGGCGUAAAGGGUGUGUAGGCGGCCAUGUAAGUCAGUUGUGAAAGCCCCGGGCUCAACCCGGGAAGUGCUUCUGAUACUGCUUGGCUUGAGUAUUGGAUAGGUGAGUGGAAUUCCAGGUGUAGUGGUGAAAUACGUAGAUAUCUGGAGGAACACCGGCGGCGAAGGCGGCUCACUGGCCAUAUACUGACGCUGAAACACGAAAGCGUGGGUAGCAAACAGG
rnacentral:rRNA from 1 species